UACGGAGGGUGCAAGCAUUAAUCGGAUUUAUUGGGCGUAAAGGGCGCGUAGGCGGUUAUAUAAGUCAGAUGUGAAAUUCCGAGGCUCAACUUCGGAGCUGCAUUUGAAACUGCAUAACUAGAGGAUAGGCGGAGAAAAUGGAAUUCCACGUGUAGCGGUGAAAUGCGUAGAUAUGUGGAAGAACACCGGUGGCGAAGGCGGUUUUCUAGCUUAUUCCUGACGCUAAGGCGCGAAAGCAAGGGGAGCAAACAGG
rnacentral:rRNA from 1 species